rnacentral:rRNA from 1 species
CCGUAGUAAGCUCUUGAAACUGGGAGACUUGAGUGCAGGAGAGGAGAGUGGAAUUCCUAGUGUAGCGGUGAAAUGCGUAGAUAGUAGGAGGAACACCAGUUGCGAAGGCGGCUCUCUGGACUGUAACGGACGCUGAGGCACGAAAGCGUGGGGAGCAAACAGGAUUAGAUACCCUGGUAGUCCACGCUGUAAACGAUGAGUACUAGGUGUC